CUAACCCGGGACUAAACCGGGACUAAACCGGGACUAAACCGGGACUAAACCAGGACUAAACCAGGUCUAAACCAGGUCUAAACCGGGACUAAACCGGGACUAAACCGGGACUAAACCAGGACUAAACCAGGUCUAAACCAGGUCUAAACCAGGACUAAACCAGGACUAAACCAGGUCUAAACCAGGACUAAACCAGGUCUAAACCAGGUCUAAACCAGGACUAAACCAGGACUGAACCAGGUCUAAACCAGGUCUAAACCAGGACUGAACCAGGACUGAACCAGGACUGAACCAGGACUGACCCAGGACUGAACCAGGACUAAACCAGGUCUAAACCAGGUCUAAACCAGGACUGAACAAGGACUGAACCAGGACUGAACAAGGACUGAACCAGGUCUAAA
ensembl:lncRNA